UACAGAGGGUGCGAGCGUUAAUCGGAAUUACUGGGCGUAAAGCGCGCGUAGGCGGCUUUGCAAGCCGGAUGUGAAAUCCCCGGGCUUAACCUGGGAACUGCAUUCGGGACUGCAUUGCUAGAGUAUGAGAGAGGGAAGUGGAAUUUCAGGUGUAGCGGUGAAAUGCGUAGAUAUCUGAAGGACCAUCAGUGGCGAAAGCGACUUCCUGGACCAAUACUGACGCUCAUGUGCGAAAGCGUGGGGAGCAAACAGG
rnacentral:rRNA from 1 species